rnacentral:lncRNA from 3 species
AUAGUACUUUACGUGUGACUUAUGUUUUCUUUAGGUUUUUCAAAGAAAAAAUUAAAUAAUACGAAUGAUUAAAGUUGGACACGAAAACUCAUGGGCUCAUGGCUGCAUUUGUUUUUGAAUGGAGAGAGUAAUAAGUAAGGGCACAUUUCGAUCUGUUGUUUUAUCUUUCUUUUCUUUUUUCUUUUUUUUUUUGCAAUCUCCCUCGUGGUCGUCUGCGGACGGCCUGAACGACUUUUCCCCCGUCUACCCUCCGACCCAUCGCGCGGCGUGGCAGGCAGAUUCCAAAUUCCAACCCCAAAUCGACCCAAUCUCCGGCGCCCCGAUCACCGGGAGAUCCGGGAAAGCACCCAGAACAACCGGAGUUGCCGCCGGCGUAAAGAGGAGGAGGAGGCGGCGGCGGCGUCGGCGGCCGUGGCGAAGUCGUCGGCGUCGGCGGCGGCCGCGGCGGCUGGGGUAUCUGCGAUGAUAACCCGGUCGAAGCUGGUUGAGCAGCUGCGCGACUACCAGAUCCGAUCCCAACACAAGCGUGACAUAAUUGGAGCAGUCUCAUGGGGCUUGCUGUGUUGCUUUCUGAUAAUAUCAUCGUACAUGACGUUGUACUUCAGGCACUUCUGGCUGUCCGCUGUUAUUAUCUCACUCGGUAUUCUUCUUCCUGCUGGCCUUUACAUUUUGAGGCAGAGAAAGCUUGCUAAGAAAAGAGAGAGAAGAUUAUUGCUGCCCCUCUCCAUGUAAGAGUGUUGGUUGGUUCCCUGAUUUUCUGGUUAAUUCUAGCCAUGUAGAAUCCACAUUCUUGGCUUGCUACACACUCUUCAUUCAUGUUACUCUGCCUCAAUAUACAUCUCAUUCUUUAGUCUCUACUGAAGUGCUAGAAGAUAUAUCAUCAUUUUUUUCUGAGCUCAAUGUUGUGCGAGUAUAUAAUCUCCAAUGCUUGGUGGGUAUAGUACCAUCCGUCUCUGCUACAGUCUUUUUUUUCUUCUUCUUGGGGUUUUAUAUGCUUGCAGGGUGAGACGUGUUUGCCUUGGGCAUCACACUUUUGUAACUGAUACUGAUUGUUUUGAUACUGAAUUUGUAAGCCAUAUCCACCCUAGUUACUUGUACUCCAAUCUGUUUCUGGACUAGAAUGUGUGCAUGGAAUGAUCAGUCCCUCUUUUUCAUCC